rnacentral:rRNA from 1 species
CAACUUGAGAGUUUGAUCCUGGCUCAGAACGAACGCUGGCGGCAGGCCUAAUACAUGCAAGUCGAGCGCGCCCUUCGGGGUGAGCGGCGGACGGGUGAGUAACGCGUGGGAAUAUGCCCUUCUCUAAGGAAUAGCCUCUGGAAACGGAGAGUAAUACCUUAUACGCCCUUUGGGGGAAAGAUUUAUCGGAGAAGGAUUAGCCCGCGUUAGAUUAGGUAGUUGGUGGGGUAAUGGCCUACCAAGCCUACGAUCUAUAGCUGGUUUGAGAGGAUGAUCAGCCACACUGGGACUGAGACACGGCCCAGACUCCUACGGGAGGCAGCAGUGGGGAAUCU